UCCGUAGGUGAACCUGCGGAAGGAUCAUUACCGAGUGAGGGCCCUCUGGGUCCAACCUCCCACCCGUGUUUAUUUUACCUUGUUGCUUCGGCGGGCCCGCCUUAACUGGCCGCCGGGGGGCUUACGCCCCCGGGCCCGCGCCCGCCGAAGACACCCUCGAACUCUGUCUGAAGAUUGAAGUCUGAGUGAAAAUAUAAAUUAUUUAAAACUUUCAACAACGGACCUCUUGGUUCCGGCAUCGAUGAAGAACGCAGCGAAAUGCGAUACGUAAUGUGAAUUGCAAAUUCAGUGAAUCAUCGAGUCUUUGAACGCACAUUGCGCCCCCUGGUAUUCCGGGGGGCAUGCCUGUCCGAGCGUCAUUGCUGCCCUCAAGCCCGGCUUGUGUGUUGGGCCCCGUCCCCCGAUCUCCGGGGGACGGGCCCGAAAGGCAGCGGCGGCACCGCGUCCGGUCCUCGAGCGUAUGGGGCUUUGUCACCCGCUCUGUAGGCCCGGCCGGCGCUUGCCGAUCAACCCAAAUUUUUAUCCAGGUUGACCUCGGAUCAGGUAGGGAUACCCGCUGAACUUAAGCAUAUCAAUAAGCGGAGGA
rnacentral:rRNA from 1 species